rnacentral:rRNA from 1 species
CGAGCGGCGGACGGGUGAGUAAUGUCUGGGAAACUGCCUGAUGGAGGGGGAUAACUACUGGAAACGGUAGCUAAUACCGCAUAACGUCUACGGACCAAAGUGGGGGACCUUCGGGCCUCACGCCAUCAGAUGUGCCCAGAUGGGAUUAGCUAGUAGGUGGGGUAAUGGCUCACCUAGGCGACGAUCCCUAGCUGGUCUGAGAGGAAUGACCAGCCACACUGGAACUGA